CUCGGUGCUAGCCGGCCAGAGUUUGCAACACUGGUCGGGCAACAGUUGAAAUCGAGCAGCAGUUGAGUGUUGAGUGUUACAUUUUGCCGGAUAACAAUUGAGAAUUCGCCGAUUUUAUCGUCUAGAAGAAUUUAUAAAUGAACAAAUUGAUGAGGAAGCAUUUAUACAUAUGCCUGAAUCUAUGAUCAAAGAGAUAAUUCUUAUAAUCGGAAAGCGUUUUCGUUUUAUACAAAAUCGAAAAAAAUUGUUUCAAAAUNAAAAUGAAAGUUCAGUUUUGGAAAUCUCAAAUAAAUUGUGUAGUGAGUCUGAGGAUACAAGCAGUAUAGGGAGUUGUUCUUCAUUAAGCGUAUUUCAAGAUUAU